UACGAAGGGGGCUAGCGUUGCUCGGAAUCACUGGGCGUAAAGCGCACGUAGGCGGCUUCUCAAGUCAGGGGUGAAAUCCUGGAGCUCAACUCCAGAACUGCCUUUGAUACUGAGGGGCUCGAGUCCGGGAGAGGUGAGUGGAACUGCGAGUGUAGAGGUGAAAUUCGUAGAUAUUCGCAAGAACACCAGUGGCGAAGGCGGCUCACUGGCCCGGUACUGACGCUGAGGCACGAAAGCGUGGGGAGCAAACAGG
rnacentral:rRNA from 1 species